UACGAAGGAUGCGAGCGUUAUCCGGAUUUAUUGGGUUUAAAGGGAGCGUAGGCGGUCUUAUAAGUCAGUGGUGAAAUCUUGUCGCUUAACGACAAACGUGCCAUUGAUACUGUAGGACUUGAGUACAGAUGCCGUUGGCGGAAUGUGUCAUGUAGCGGUGAAAUGCAUAGAUAUGACACAGAACACCGAUUGCGAAGGCAGCUGGCGAAACUGUAACUGACGCUGAGGCUCGAAAGCGUGGGGAUCAAACAGG
rnacentral:rRNA from 1 species